UAGCCCUGGGACUACAGGUGGAAGCAAUUCAACUGCACAAUGUGAAAAGGUGGAGCCAGGGUCUACUCCUGCCUAACCUCAUUAAAGGGUUGUCAGGAAGGAGCAUCUAUAAUUAAAGAUCAUCUUUUUUGGAGUGUUUGGUGAGCCCUGAUACUUGGAAAGGGGAAAUUGUGGAAACAGUGACUCAUCUCUUCAAUAAUUUACGCAGGAUAAUUUCUUGAAAAGCAAGAUCAGCAGGGACUUUUCCUCUUGAUUGCAGAGGAUUUGGUUAUAUAUUUCUGAAUACUCAGAAAACAAGAGAAUGGGGAGAGAAAACAAAGCCAACAGUCUGGGACUUUUUCUUCCCAGAAGGAAGGAUUUUGUCCAAUUGUCCGAUUUCAGAAUUGAUGAAAAAAGCCUGAGGAGUGAAUGUUUCACUAUUUUUCCAUGAAUUGGUUGCUAUUGUUUUUUGAAUCAGUAAAACCUUAAAGGUAUUAUCUGUCAUGAGGAAAUGGGAUUUGAAAACAUGGUGCUGUAGAUGAACAAAAUAUGCUCUGAAGACACAAUGUGGAUAUUUUGAACAUGUAAACAAUAUCAGUUCCAUGUAACUAAAUGCAAAUUAUUUAAUGAUGAACAAAAAUACAUAAUGUGUCCUCAAAGAGUUAAUUGUUGACCAGUCAGCAUUUUAUUUUUCUUCACCGUUUUUGUUGGGACACUAGGGGCAGUGGUGGCACUUAGUGAUGUAAUAUUGGAUUGGUUUAAACUUGCCCAUUUAAAACAGCAAUUUUUGAUAUGUGGGGUAAUUGGGCCAUCAACAGUUCAUGUUCAU